rnacentral:rRNA from 1 species
CAGACGGGUGGCAGCAGUGGGGAAUAUUGGACAAUGGGCGAAAGCCUGAUCCAGCCAUGCCGCGUGUGUGAAGAAGGCCUUCGGGUUGUAAAGCACUUUCAGUGGGGAAGAAAGCCUUGGGGCUAAUACCCUCGAGGAAGGACAUCACCCACAGAAGAAGCACCGGCUAACUCCGUGCCAGCAGCCGCGGUAAUACGGAGGGUGCGAGCGUUAAUCGGAAUUACUGGGCGUAAAGCGCGCGUAGGCGGUCUGAUAAGCCGGUUGUGAAAGCCCCGGGCUCAACCUGGGAACGGCAUCCGGAACUGUCAGGCUAGAGUGCAGGAGAGGAAGGUAGAAUUCCCGGUGUAGCGGUGAAAUGCGUAGAGAUCGGGAGGAAUACCAGUGGCGAAGGCGGCCUUCUGGACUGACACUGACGCUGAGGUGCGAAAGCGUGGGUAGCAAACAGGAUUAGAUACCCCGGUAGUC